UGAAGAAGAAGAAGGAUGAGGAAGCGGAACGAAAGAAAAUGGCGCAUGGUCUGUUUGGUUGAAUGUUCGACUGUUUCUCUAAACGAGUUUAUCAACGAGCCGUUAACUGCUGCUGAAGAAACAUUCACAGAGUUUAAAGAAAUCAUCGUCAAGUCGGAGGAAGAGAUGGAUGAUCAUCGCAGACUGCUGGAUUUCUCCCGGAGGCCCCAGAUAAUCUUACACCGAAUAGGUUUCAUAAAGACCAUGUGAGGAAGAAGUGGGGAAUGUCUUUAAGGAGAGACGGAUUCACUGCACUGAUGAAUCUCAGCUGCUGAAUCUCUCUUAAGCCUUUGAUGCAAAACAUGGGUCAAAAGUGACCCGGCUGAGUUUUUAUCUUCUUUAUCUUUGCAAUAAAUUAAUUUCAUCAUUCAG